AGCAGCCGCCGCGGUAAUACGGAGGGUGCAAGCGUUAUCCGGAUUUAUUGGGUUUAAAGGGUCCGUAGGCGGAUCUGUAAGUCAGUGGUGAAAUCUCACAGCUUAACUGUGAAACUGCCAUUGAUACUGCAGGUCUUGAGUAAAUUUGAAGUGGCUGGAAUAAGUAGUGUAGCGGUGAAAUGCAUAGAUAUUACUUAGAACACCAAUUGCGAAGGCAGGUCACUAAGAUUUAACUGACGCUGAUGGACGAAAGCGUGGGUAGCGAACAGGAUUAGAUACCCGCGUAGUCCCUGUCUCUUAUAC
rnacentral:rRNA from 1 species